CCCUUAGAUGUUCUGGGCCGCACGCGCGCUACACUGACAUGUUCAACAAGCCUCCUAGUUCGACAGGAUUUGGGAAAUCUUUGAACGCAUGUCGUGAUAGGGAUAGAUCAUUGCAAUUAUUGAUCUUGAACGAGGAAUUCCUAGUAAACGCGAGUCAUCAGCUCGCAUUGAUUACGUCCCUGCCCUUUGUACACACCGCCCGUCGCACCUACCGAUCGAAUGUUUCGGUGAAGAUUCCGGAUAGGACUUUUUUGAUUUAUUUCAAUUUUGUCUUAAAAGCUAUCUAAACCUCAACAUUUAGAGGAAGGAGAAGUCGUAACA
rnacentral:rRNA from 1 species